GAUGAACGCUGGCGGCGUGCCUAAUACAUGCAAGUCGAGCGAACAGAUGAGGAGCUUGCUCCUCUGACGUUAGCGGCGGACGGGUGAGUAACACGUGGAUAACCUACCUAUAAGACUGGGAUAACUUCGGGAAACCGGAGCUAAUACCGGAUAAUAUAUUGAACCGCAUGGUUCAAUAGUGAAAGACGGUUUUGCUGUCACUUAUAGAUGGAUCCGCGCCGCAUUAGCUAGUUGGUAAGGUAACGGCUUACCAAGGCAACGAUGCGUAGCCGACCUGAGAGGGUGAUCGGCCACACUGGAACUGAGACACGGUCCAGACUCCUACGGGAGGCAGCAGUAGGGAAUCUUCCGCAAUGGGCGAAAGCCUGACGGAGCAACGCCGCGUGAGUGAUGAAGGUCUUCGGAUCGUAAAACUCUGUUAUUAGGGAAGAACAAAUGUGUCAGUAACUAUGCACGUCUUGACGGUACCUAAUCAGAAAGCCACGGCUAACUACGUG
rnacentral:rRNA from 1 species